ensembl:lncRNA
GGGACAGAGGUUCUGUCUUAGCCGGCUCAAGGUGCAGCGCUAACGGUGCUAACUACAGGGAACGCUCUGACGGAAGUAGUGUUGGUGCCGCGUUACCAUGACUACGCUGCGUUAUCACCCAAAACCGCCCUAUGAGAGCAGUGCAGAGUAACCAGUGCAGCGCGCUCCCGUCAUGGAACGUGCAAGGAGCAUCCAAGGCCGGCCCGGCUAUGUCAACAAGGCGAGGACACGCCGGGGGGACGACGACUGGCGGCGGGAGAGCGAAUUAGUCCUCUGCUCAGUACUACCAAGAUGCCAAAGAAGGUUGAGAUGACGAGAGGACAGGAUUGUACACAGUCAGUACUUUUUAAUUAAUGAAUAUAUCGGAGAGGCUGAGAUACAUCAGCCUACAUUUCAAAGGCAAUGUGUUAAAACUGUGAGCUUAUUAUCGCCCCCAAAUUCAUUUAAAGCAAAGUAUGACUGAACAUGUCCGUCUCCACGGAAUUAUUCCGACAGUCAAAAGCUGUUUUCGGAAAGUCCUUUUUCGUCACCCUAAACCAGCCGGCAAAACCAACGUUUGUCUAUUGGCGGGAUUAACGGCGCCCCGCUAAAGGCGCCCCCUGCUUCUCUAGUGUCGCUUUUCUGCAGGACAGUUGUGAAAACAUCAGCCGUGACAACAGAGGAGCAGAAGCCGCUGCCAGAUGACACCUCCCAGCCUCUAAUGGAGAUACAGUGUGAGGAGGGGGAGGAGGAGGAGGAGGAGGGGGAGGAAGAUGGUUUGUGCCACUGCUGACUUGUCACUGCCAGCCCAGCAGGCUCAUCCUGCUCCUGAUUAAUGGAGCUGUCCGUUGGGCCUCGCAGGGGAAGAGCGGGGCUCUUCUCCCGUCCCCAGAAGCCCCCGUUUAUUUUCCCACAACAGAUGGGCCCCCCGGGGCCUCGGGCUCGUUUGCACCUUCUGCGCUCGGCAUCCUUCAUCUUAAUCAGUAAAUCGGUUCCAGAGCACGGAGCCACGCGACCUACAGGCGACCUCUGUUACUUGUCCUCCUUCGGAUGCUCUAGAAAACAACAAUUUCUUCCUCUGCGCGUCCUCACCCCCCCCCCCCCCUGUCCCAGGAGACGGGCCCGAUGUGGUCGUCCUUCAGGGCCUUAAUGUAGUGUGAUGUUAGUCACAAAUCCAUGAUGGAAUACGCCAGUUUUUCUCCUGUAAUAGGCAUCACUACUCCACAUCAUUAUAAUUCACAUGGCUGUUUUAAAGGGCGCCCUGGACAUAUUUGGGGGGGCCGGUCUCCUGCAGUUAGACGUUAAAUCCAUAAUGAAGUGAAUGUAUCAAGCAUUUCUCGAAUAUAAAAGUUUCUCUCCCUUUCAAUUGUCUUUCUUUGAAUGGACUGAAAGAUGAGAAUCCGGUUGUUAUUGAUCACAAUGGAACCAAUCCGGGGUUUUUUUUAAGGCGUUGCUUCGCUGCUCAUCAACACAAAGUCAUUCCGCUCCAAGGCUUUUUCUUUUCAAUGCGAUCUAAUGUUAUGUUUAUUCGUCAUUCAUUCAGGCAUAAAGAAAGGAUUAUUUUCACCGUCUCAAUUUCCUUAAUUGAUCAAUUACUGGUCAGCCAAUUUAACAUUUUCUGUUUGAGAAUGUGUUUUUUCUUCUUUUUUUUUUUUUUUAAUCGCCAGUUUCUGCCAAAUUAGACAAACGUAACACCAGACGGGAGAAGAAGAAAAAAAACACGCUUGUCCCCAGAAGCGUGUCUGCCAUGUCUCCUGAGCCUUUUAUUCACACAGCAGAUUGUCUCCGUUUGUCUCAGAUUCAAAAAGAAUUCCACUUGGAACGGAGAAGACGGCCCUGGAACUGCCCGCUAAUCGUCGCAGGCGCACAAAUCCUUUGUUUUAACCCUCAGCUUUUUUUUAUAUUUCCUUUUGUGGCGGGUUGGACGUGUCUUAUCCUCUCUCCUCUGGGGGGGACAUUGGACAUUGUUUCCUGACAUCCUGCUGAUGACUGUUGUUUUCUUUUCACUAUCGGGGAAAAGCAGAACGGGACUUUUUCAGUUGCUGCUGAUUCACCGCAGAUUAGAUUGCUUUCCCCGGGCGUGAGAUCGCUUGGUUUCACUCUGUGACAUGAGGCAUUUAUAGUUGGGGCUUUAAUGCGUUCCGUUAUACGCGCAUGCUGUGAAUAUAAAGGGGACGGCUCUUUUUAUGUCUUGUGACAUCGAUUCGUGUCCGAAGCAUUUGCGACAGAUUUCAGCUCAUCGCAUUAAGUAACUGCUUCCUUCCGCUGAUUAUUUUCCUUGGAAGUUUUUUUUUCUCUACUAAGAGGGGAGUAAAACAGAUGCUUCAUGAGGGAGAAUUAGCCAGAUCUCUAAAUGUAAACUGAUUAAGGAUUAGUGGAGUGCGGCUCUGUCUCUUUUCCGCUCCCCUGAAAGUCAACGUUUCCCUGCCUCUCCCUGCAGCACACGUUUUAAUAUUCCUCGAAACUCUCACUGCAUUUUGGCUCAGCGAGGAUUUAUUUUGGCUGAAGAAAGUCGCAGGGGCAGUUUUGGUUACACUGCUGCAGAAGUAAGCGGUUUAAUGCUUAAAAUCCAACAGAUUUUCACACCUCCGUCACCAUUUGGCCUUCAGUAAACACCGGGCCGCGGAGGUUAACCGUCCUCACGCGGUACGCUGGCAGUUUACAAUGAAAACCGUGGCCGAUUGGCAGAUUUAUCAUAUUUGAAAUACUCCCACAGACGCGGAUUUAUCAGCUUUUCGAUGGCUAGCUAAUCCUUUACAUCUAUUGUUUGGUUGAACACUUUGUCUCCUAAUUUAUAAUGUUUUCAGCUGUGUUUUUAAAAGAACAAACCGGAUGUUCGAGCUAAUCCUUUAAUUAAGCAUCAAACGCCAGCCAACGAGUGCAGAGAAAGUCCGCGUUGGGAGGAGGCCGAGGCGGCUUCUGCACAACUCAUCAAGUGGUUUCGUUGGCUGGAUUCCACCUGACGGAGAACGAACACUACAACGCUGGUCUGCAGAGAUGCGCGUUGACCACAUUUUAUUCCGGCGACCGAUGAGUCAAUCAAUACAUCCCGGGGAGUACACGUCUUUGUACACCUCCUUCCUUUGUGGCGGACAACGGUUCGCUCUUUGUCUGCGAUGCCCUCACAUGGUGUUCCAGCCCACCUCCGUUUUAAUCUCUCUGGGCGCGAGCCAACUCUAAAUGCACAGAUCGCCGCUUUUCACAGAGACAGCAGUGUCAGCAGGGCUGUGCUCCUCCGCUGAGGCCCCCGGUGCUAAACCCCCACCCCCAAACCCCCACCCCCACACCCACACCCCGGGUCCCUGCCUCCCAUGCCCCGAAAAGGAGGUGGAACCUGCGGGACGGGGCUCUGCGGCAGUGGCCUGGUCCUCAUCAGCCGGUGGAGGUGUUUUUCAUUCAUUUACUCCGCAGCGCGACUCUGCCUUUAACAUUAAACAAGCAACGGUCGACGUGUAAAUAUUUAGCCUUCUGUGUUUGAGCGAGUUCAAAAGCUG